GUCCAACUGGCAGGUGUCAUCUGACCUUGACCUCAUUUUCAUGGUUCAGUGGUUAUAGUUAAGUUUUUGUGUUUUGGUCUGUUUUUCUUAUACUGUAUGCAAUAGGUCUACUAUAUUUGGUGUAUGGAAUGAUUGUAAGGUGUACAUGUCCAACUGGCAGGUGUCAUCUGACUUUGACCUCAUUUUCAUGGUUCAGUGGUCAAAGUUAAGUUUUUGAGUUUUGGUCUUUUUUCUUAUACUAUAUGCAAUAAGUCAACUAUAUUUGGUGUAUGGAAAUAUUCUAUGAUGUACAUGUCAGUCUCGCAGGUUUUAUUUGACCUUGACCUCAUUUUCACGGUUCAUUGCUCAGUGUUAAGUUUAUGUGUUUCAGUCUGUUUUUCUUAAACUAUAAGCAAUAGGUCAGCUAUAUUUGUUGUAUGGAAGGAUUGUAAGCUGUUCAUGUCUGCCUGGCAUGGUUCAUCUGACCUUGACCUCAUUUUCACGAUUCAUUGGUCAAUGUUUAGUUUUUGUCGAGCCUGCGACUUUUGUCGCAGAAAGCUCGACAUAGGGAUAGCGAUCCGGCGGCGGCGGCGUUAGCUAACUUCUUAAAAGCUUUAUAUUUUAGAAGAUGGAAGACCUGGAUGCUUCAUACUUUGUAUAUGGAUGCCUCAUGUUACGAAGUUUCCGUCAGUCACAUGUCCAAUGUCCUUGACCUCAUUUUCAUGGUUCAGUGACUACUUGAAAAAAAAGUUUAGAUUUUUUGUAAUGUUAAAUUCUCUCUUAUUAUAAGUAAUAGGAUAACUAUAUUUGGUAUGUGCGUACCUUGCAAGGUCCUCAUGCCUGUCAGACAGUUUUCACUUGACCUCGACCUCAUUUCAUGGAUCAGUGAACAAGGUUAAGUUUUGGUGGUCAAGUCCAUAUCUCACAUACUAUAAGCAAUAGGUCUAGUAUAUUCGGUGUAUGGAAGGACUGUAAGGUGUACAUGUCCAACUGGCAGGUGUCAUCUGACCUUGACCUCAUUUUCAUGGUUCAGUGGUUAUAGUUAAGUUUUUGUGUUUUGGUCUGUUUUUCUUAUACUGUAUGCAAUAGGUCUACUAUAUUUGGUGUAUGGAAUGAUUGUAAGGUGUACAUGUCCAACUGGCAGGUGUCAUCUGACUUUGACCUCAUUUU